GAUGAACGCUGGCGGCGUGCCUAAUACAUGCAAGUCGAGCGAACGGACGAGAAGCUUUCUUCUCUGAUGUUAGCGGCGGACGGGUGAGUAACACGUGGAUAACCUACCUAUAAGACUGGGAUAACUUCGGGAAACCGGAGCUAAUACCGGAUAAUAUUUUGAACCGCAUGGUUCAAAAGUGAAAGACGGUCUUGCUGUCACUUAUAGAUGGAUCCGCGCUGCAUUAGCUAGUUGGUAAGGUAACGGCUUACCAAGGCAACGAUGCAUAGCCGACCUGAGAGGGUGAUCGGCCACACUGGAACUGAGACACGGUCCAGACUCCUACGGGAGGCAGCAGUAGGGAAUCUUCCACAAUGGGCGAAAGCCUGACGGAGCAACGCCGCGUGAGUGAUGAAGGUCUUCGGAUCGUAAAACUCUGUUAUUAGGGAAGAACAUAUGUGUAAGUAACUGUGCACAUCUUGACGGUACCUAAUCAGAAAGCCACGGCUAACUUCGUG
rnacentral:rRNA from 1 species